GCACUGGAUGGGGGUUAUAUCGCUGUGACCCAUUGUUGCACAUAGAAGGAGAGCGGCGUCAUAUGUGCGAACAGUGC
rnacentral:sRNA from 1 species